UGGUAGCUCAGUUGGUAGAGCAGCAGACUGAAAAUCUGCCUGUCGGUGGUUCAAUUCCGCCCC
rnacentral:tRNA from 1 species